UACGUAGGGUGCGAGCGUUGUCCGGAAUUAUUGGGCGUAAAGAGCUCGUAGGUGGUUUGUCGCGUUGUUCGUGAAAACUCACAGCUCAACUGUGGGCGUGCGGGCGAUACGGGCAGACUGGAGUACUGCAGGGGAGACUGGAAUUCCUGGUGUAGCGGUGAAAUGCGCAGAUAUCAGGAGGAACACCGGUGGCGAAGGCGGUGGUCUGGGCCGGCACUGACGCUGAGGAGCGAAAGCGUGGGGAGCGAACAGG
rnacentral:rRNA from 1 species